rnacentral:rRNA from 1 species
UACGUAGGGUGCGAGCGUUAAUCGGAAUUACUGGGCGUAAAGCGUGCGCAGGCGGUUUUGUAAGUCUGUCGUGAAAUCCCCGGGCUCAACCUGGGAAUUGCGAUGGAGACUGCAAGGCUAGAAUCUGGCAGAGGGGGGUAGAAUUCCACGUGUAGCAGUGAAAUGCGUAGAUAUCAGGAGGAAUACCGAUGGCGAAGGCAGGUCUCUGGGCCAAUACUGACGCUCAUGCACGAAAGCGUGGGGAGCAAACAGG